UACGGAGGUCGAGCGUUAUCCGGAUUAUUGGGUUUAAAGGGUGCGUAGGCGGCUUUUUAAGUCAGGGGUGAAAGACGGCAGCUCAACUGUCGCAGUGCCUUUGAUACUGAAGAGACUUGAAUACACUUGAAGUAGGCGGGAAUGUGACAAGUAGCGGUGAAAUGCAUAGAUAUGUCACAGAACACCAAUUGCGAAGGCAGCUUACUAAAGUGUGAUUGACGCUGAGGCACGAAAGCGUGGGGGAUCAAACAGG
rnacentral:rRNA from 1 species